UCUAUUAUGGCAGAAAAAUGUAAUGGCCUUAAACCCCAUAUAUAAAGAAUAUAUCUUUUUUUAG
rnacentral:tRNA from 1 species